GUCCACGCCGUAAACGAUGGAUACUAGCUGUUGGGGCAACUUCAGUGGCUAAGCGAAAGUGAUAAGUAUCCCACCUGGGGAGUACGUUCGCAAGAAUGAAACUCAAAGGAAUUGACGGGGCCCGCACAAGCGGUGGAGCAUGUGGUUUAAUUCGAUGAUACGCGAGGAACCUUACCAAGGCUUAAAUGUAGAUUGACCGAUUUGGAAACAGAUCUUUCGCAAGACAAUUUACAAGGUGCUGCAUGGUUGUCGU
rnacentral:rRNA from 1 species